rnacentral:rRNA from 1 species
AUUGAACGCUGGCGGCAGGCCUAACACAUGCAAGUCGAGCGGAGCGGCGGGCGGGCGAGUAAUGCAUAGGAAGCAGACUGGUAGAGGGGGGGAACGUACGGAAACAGGCGCUAAUAAAGCAUACUAUCAGUUGAGUCUAGGUCGGAUUAGCUAGUUGGUGGGGUAAGGGCCUACCAAGGCGACGAUCCCUAACUGGUCUGAGAGGAUGAACAGUCAAACUGGAACUGAGACACGGUCCAGACUCCUACGGGAGGCAGCAGUGGGGAAUAUUGGACAAUGGGCGAAAGCCUGAUCCAGCCAUGCCGCGUGUGUGAAGAAGGUCUUCGGAUUGUAAAGCACUUUAAGUUGGGAGGCGUUACCAACAGAAUAAGCACCGGCUAACUCCGUGCCAGCAGCCGCGGUAAUAC